GAUGCUUAUUUCUAGAGAUAGAAAGUUACUUCGGUACAUCGGUGACAGGUGGUGCAUGGUUGUCGUCAGCUCGUGUCGUGAGAUGUUGGGUUAAGUCCCGCAACGAGCGCAACCCCUAUUGUUAGUUGCCAUCAUUCAAUUGGGCACUCUAGCGAGACUGCCGGUAAUAAACCGGAGGAAGUGGGAUGACGUCAAAUCAUCAUGCCCCUUAUGACCUGGGCUACACACGUGCUACAAUGGUUGGUACAACGAGUUGCGAGUCGGUGACGGCGAGCUAAUCUCUUAAAGCCAAUCUCAGUUCGGAUUGUAGGCUGCAACUCGCCUACAUGAAGUCGGAAUCGCUAGUAAUCGCGGAUCAGCACGCCGCGGUGAAUACGUUCCCGGGCCUU
rnacentral:rRNA from 1 species